rnacentral:rRNA from 1 species
GACGAACGCUGGCGGCGUGCUUAACACAUGCAAGUCGAACGAAGUGGCGAACGGGUGAGUAAUACGUGGGUAACCUGCCGUCCUUUUUGGGUUAAGCCUUGGAAACGGGGUUUAAUACCGAUUAAGGGGGGAUGGGCUCGCGUUCGAUCAGCUUGUUGGUGGUGUGAUGGCCUACCAAGGCGGCGAGGGGUAGCCGGCCUGAGAGGGUGACCGGCCACGUUGGGACUGAGAUACAGCGCAGACUCCUACGGGAGGCGGAAGUUGGGGAUGUUGCGCAAUGGGCGAGAGCCUGGUGCGGCGACGCCACGUGGGGGAUGAAGGCUUUCGGGUUGUAAACCUCUUUCGCUGUCGAAAGGGUAGGUGGAGAAGAAGCGCCGGCUAACUACGUGCCAGCAGCCGCGGUAAUUC